rnacentral:lncRNA from 1 species
UUUGAGUUGCAAGUAGAUUUCUUCCCAAAGUCAUGUGUUAGAUUUUUUGCCCUGAGCUUUUUUAGUCUAUGUACGGUACUGUAAUUUCUCUGAGAUCUGUCCACCGUUUAACAUCGGAGAGAGUAGUCCAUUGUCCUGCAAUCUGUCAAUGAUUACCUUUCACAAAACUAGAAUGAAUUCAUAUGCUUUCAGGUAAUGCAACUUGAACACAAGCUAUCUAUAUAUUCCUUCAAUAUCAUAGAGAUGCGUAUUUUUUUUUUUUUUUACUCCAAGCUUGCUUUAAUUUCAGAGUGAGGGCUGGGAUGAUAUGGGCAGUUGAAGAGAGAACAAUGGAAUUAUAAAAGAAAUCCGAGAAGUGGUUAUGGUGUAUAGUGUAUGGGGAUUGGUUAUGGAUUAAGAGUCUUUGAUAAUCUUCAUUUUGACUAUUAAAUGUUUAUAUUUGUUGUAUAUGAACACUCUUUUUAUCAAUAAUGCCAUAUAUUUAGAUUUUUGCAGUC